rfam:Sus scrofa chromosome 6.
CCUGUGGUGGUGCAGUGGUUAACAAAUCUGACUGAGAACCAUGAGGUUGCAGGUUCGAUCCCUGUCCUCACGG